GACGAACGCUGGCGGCGUGCUUAACACAUGCAAGUCGAACGGAAAGGCCCUGCUUUUGUUGGGUGCUCGAGUGGCGAACGGGUGAGUAACACGUGAGUAACCUGCCCUUGACUUUGGGAUAACUUCAGGAAACUGGGGCUAAUACCGGAUAGGAGCUCCUGCUGCAUGUUGGGGGUUGGAAAGUUUCGGCGGUUGGGGAUGGACUCGCGGCUUAUCAGCUUGUUGGUGGGGUAGUGGCUUACCAAGGCUUUGACGGGUAGCCGGCCUGAGAGGGUGACCGGCCACAUUGGGACUGAGAUACGGCCCAGACUCCUACGGGAGGCAGCAGUGGGGAAUAUUGCACAAUGGGCGGAAGCCUGAUGCAGCAACGCCGCGUGCGGGAUGACGGCCUUCGGGUUGUAAACCGCUUUCGCCUGUGACGAAGCGUGAGUGACGGUAAUGGGUAAAGAAGCACCGGCUAACUACGUG
rnacentral:rRNA from 1 species